GUGGCUAGUGAAGUACUGACUUGGGGGUUAAUCCAUCAUAUUUCUAUUUCGUCGCUCAUACGGCGUGCAAUAGUAUGAGUACCAUUCAUUUGAGUGGUAAUGUAUGGAUCAAUUUUUCCUCUACGCCCUGGUAAGUGGGAGCUGUGAUAGCAUGAUCGGAUACACUGCCAGUCUAGGGGAGUGUUGUUAGGUGCUGUGUCAUGCACACAUGUUUUGGUGUGCUUGGGAACAGUACCGCAUGUUGGGAAUUCCGUCCUGAGAGGCGAUGCCGUCAUUAGGGCGAUGAUGUGGGUAGUAACACGUCAUAUGCAUGGACGGGUGUCUGUGUAUGUGGGGUGUAUAGUUUUAAAUUCUUGUUGUGCAUGAUCAUACUGUGGGUGGGCUGAAAUGAGUUUCUGCAGGUACACUAACCACGUUCUCGCUUAGAACGCUAGUUAUGUUAUGAGAGAACGCUGUGUGCCACCGCAUAUACCGCUUAGUGCUAA
rnacentral:lncRNA from 1 species